UACAGAGGGUGCGAGCGUUGUCCGGAAUCACUGGGCGUAAAGGGCGCGUAGGUGGCGACCCAAGUCUGUGGUGAAAGCUCGCCGCUUAACGGCGAGUCGGCCACGGAUACUGGGUGGCUCGAGCACUGUAGGGGCAGAUGGAAUUCCGGGUGUAGCGGUGGAAUGCGUAGAGAUCCGGAAGAACACCAGUGGCGAAGGCGGCUCACUGGCUCGACACUGACGCUGAGGUGCGAAAGCGUGGGGAGCAAACAGG
rnacentral:rRNA from 1 species